GGGUACGGAUAGCAGGGCGGGCUGGACCUCUCGGGGUUACAGCCUUGCUGAAUUAUUCACCCUUGUCUUUUGCGUACUUCUUGUUUCCUUGGUGGGUUCGCCCACCACUAGGACAAACAUAAACCUUUUGUAAUUGCAAUCAGCGUCAGUAACAAAUUAAUAAUUACAACUUUCAACAACGGAUCUCUUGGUUCUGGCAUCGAUGAAGAACGCAGCGAAAUGCGAUAAGUAGUGUGAAUUGCAGAAUUCAGUGAAUCAUCGAAUCUUUGAACGCACAUUGCGCCCUUUGGUAUUCCAAAGGGCAUGCCUGUUCGAGCGUCAUUUGUACCCUCAAGCUUUGCUUGGUGUUGGGCGUCUUGUCUCUAGCUUUGCUGGAGACUCGCCUUAAAGUAAUUGGCAGCCGGCCUACUGGUUUCGGAGCGCAGCACAAGUCGCACUCUCUAUCAGCAAAGGUCUAGCAUCCAUUAAGCCUUUUUUUCAACUUUUGACCUCGGAUCAGGUAGGGAUACCCGCUGAACUUAAG
rnacentral:rRNA from 1 species